rnacentral:rRNA from 1 species
CCUACGGGUGGCAGCAGUGAGGAAUAUUGCACAAUGGGGGAGACCCUGAUGCAGCGACGUCGCGUGAGGGAAGAAGUAUUUAGGUAUUUUAAGCCCUAUUAGCAGGGAAGAAAAGGACGGUACCUGAUUAAGAAGCCCCGGCUAACUACGUGCCAGCAGCCGCGGUAAUACGUAGGGGGCAAGCGUAAUCCGGAUUUACUGGGUGUAAAGGGAGCGUAGACGGCAGCACAAGUCUGGAGUGAAAAGCCGGGGCUUAACCCCGGAACUGCCGUGGAAACUGUGCAGCUAGAGUGCAGGAGAGGUAAGUGGAAUGCCUGGUGUAGCGGUGAAAUGCGUAGAUAUUAGGAGGAACACCAGUGGCGAAGGCGGCUUACUGGACUGUAACUGACGUUGAGGCUCGAAAGCGUGGGGAGCAAACAGGAUUAGAUACCCUUGUAGUC